rnacentral:rRNA from 1 species
AGUCGAGCGGAUGAGUGGAGCUUGCUCCAUGAUUCAGCGGCGGACGGGUGAGUAAUGCCUAGGAAUCUGCCUGGUAGUGGGGGACAACGUUUCGAAAGGAACGCUAAUACCGCAUACGUCCUACGGGAGAAAGUGGGGGAUCUUCGGACCUCACGCUAUCAGAUGAGCCUAGGUCGGAUUAGCUAGUUGGUGAGGUAAAGGCUCACCAAGGCGACGAUCCGUAACUGGUCUGAGAGGAUGAUCAGUCACACUGGAACUGAGACACGGUCCAGACUCCUACGGGAGGCAGCAGUGGGGAAUAUUGGACAAUGGGCGAAAGCCUGAUCCAGCCAUGCCGCGUGUGUGAAGAAGGUCUUCGGAUUGUAAAGCACUUUAAGUUGGGAGGAAGGGCAGUAAGUUAAUACCUUGCUGUUUUGACGUUACCAACAGAAUAAGCACCGGCUAACUUCGUGCCAGCAGCCGCGGUAAUACGAAGGGUGCAAGCGUUAAUCGGAAUUACUGGGCGUAAAGCGCGCGUAGGUGGUUCGUUAAGUUGGAUGUGAAAGCCCCGGGCUCAACCUGGGAACUGCAUCCAAAACUGGCGAGCUAGAGUAUGGCAGAGGGUGGUGGAAUUUCCUGUGUAGCGGUGAAAUGCGUAGAUAUAGGAAGGAACAC